AAAAAUAAUCCUAGAACUUACAGGCUUGGAAUUCUGAGAUGGACUUUCGAUGUCUGGGUCCUUCAAGAACACAUUUGUAACGACCUGCUCCGGUUUGGGAACGAUGUUCUGGGCCGGGAAUUUGCGAUCACGUGUUUGGAAGAAAUAAUAAAUAAGCUUGUGUCCAAAAAAGGGAAACAAAUACUGAACAUCUUGUUUGACAGCUGUAAUAAAAAUAAGGACAGCAAUGAACGGCCGUGUGUGCCUGUCCAGUCUGGGCUGGCUGAAGGGGCAGCAGGGGCAUCUGUACCGUGUGCAGUACCUCACCUAACCAGUGCGGUCAGCCCUCUGGCUGGGUUGGAGCCUCCUCUCUUCCCUGCAGCCCCUGGCCUGGAGAGAGCCCAAGGUGACAAAAGAGAGGAGAAUUUACUGCUAGAGGUCCUGAGCCACUGCAGGUUCCUGCAUGGAGCAGUGCAGAGGCUUGAGCAGAAGAUUGACCAUCUUCAGUCAAACCACUACGUCACCUGUGGAUGCAGCAAGCAGGAGAUUCCAGAGGAGCGCGAGUUGCGAGCAGGUCAGCUCUCCUGGUCCCUCGCACAGCGUCUGGGUCCCUCACCUCAGACCAGGCACCCCAGGAAGCGGCACCCAGCUCAGCCGAUCCCUGGAGCUGCAGUCCCUCCUGAACCUGACACCUACAGCAGCAGGACCACCAGAACCCACGGCGGCGGUCGAGGGAACAGCAGGGGCUGCUGGGGAGCAAGGGUUAAAAGGGGAUCUCGGCCAGAGCAGCCCGACUCAGAUCUCCAGCCUAAAAAGGGGAGUUUCGCAAUAAAGGAGGAGCCAAAAGCUGCAAAGGUCCCGAAGAAAGUUCCUCGGCUGGACAGGAGGCUGAAAACGCGCUCAGCCAGCGAGCUCAAGGAUGCAGUGGACACGCCUCCUGAUGAAGAGGGCAAACAAGUGAUGAUUGGCAGCGCGACGCGGAAGGUCUGGAUCCCCACGUCCGUGUACAUGGAGGCGUUUAAGGAGGCGGAGCCUCAGAAAGCCGUGGUGCCGGUGCUCCGUGCCCUCUUUCCCAUCAGCACCCUGUCCUGCAGGGACCCCCUCUGGGGUGUCCAGCAGCUCGACCCCAACAAACUGGAGGCCCUGCGAGAGUGGCUGGCUGAGAUGUACCCCCAGCAUGACCUGACUGAGGGGGGCUCGGCGUGGGCUCAGUGUCUGGGAGCUCUCGACAGAAUCGCUAAAGAUCUCCGCCAGAAGGAGGGGACGUCCCCACGUGUGGACGCGGAGUGACCUUCACGCCGACCGCAGCCGCAAUCCUACAUCAAGCACUACAGCAUCUCCUCAGAGGAGAGCCAUGGGCCAGUUCUGCAGGCACUGUAAACCCAAACCACGAGUACAUUUAAAUACCAAGAGGAGGCAGAUAUUCACACUGUCCACACACGAUGGCCCCCUGAACGGACUGGUGGGUAUGUGCAUGCGGUUCCUUCAGAGUCUGCGGUUCUAGACGGCCCUCCCAGCCAAAACGUGUGUAACUCAGUUUAACGUGAACUCGGCUUCCUGCUGCUCUACCUCCGAUUCAGUCGGCCGCAUCUACGACAGUAAAGAGGGUCCUGCUCUUGAUUGUGAGCCGUCAUGGGUGGGUUUUUGUUCUGUUGCCUUCGUUUGUUUUUCUUUCUGUUUUUCAGAUCCUAAAGGUGCUUAAUCUUCAGACUGUAUGAAUUCAAGAAAAACUGAGGCGCUUUCCUUUUUACAUAUUUUUAAUUCAGAAUCAAAAGUGUACUCACGGAAUGUGCUAGUGUUUCUAUUUGCAAAUAAAGGAAAAAUAAAUGCUUUUGCUCAGUUCUGUAUCUAUUUCUUUAAGCAUUAAAUGAAAUUGAAAUGCAUAGGAAAGUUGGUCUAGACAGUGAACAUGACCUCGGUCUUUCUGCAGCAGCGUCGCAGCUCGUUAUACGGAAAUGAUCCUCGAGGCCGUGAAGCGGUUUCACCUUCCCUGCACUCGAAAGUGAGGCGUCACUCUCGAACCAAGCUACUGGUCGGUGAAGGUUCUGGAGCACUUGCUUGCAUCU
ensembl:lncRNA